rnacentral:rRNA from 1 species
AACGAACGCUGGCGGCAUGCCUAACACAUGCAAGUCGAACGAGACCUUCGGGUCUAGUGGCGCACGGGUGCGUAACACGUGGGAAUUUGCCUCGGGGUAUGGAAUAACUCAGGGAAACUUGAGCUAAUACCAUAUAAUGUCUUCGGACCAAAGAUUUAUCGCCCUGAGAUAAGCCCGCGUAGGAUUAGCUAGUUGGUGGGGUAAAGGCUCACCAAGGCGACGAUCCUUAGCUGGUCUGAGAGGAUGAUCAGCCACACUGGGACUGAGACACGGCCCAGACUCCUACGGGAGGGCAGCAGUGGGGAAUAUUGGACAAUGGGCGGAAAGACCUGAUCCAGCAAUAGCCGCGUGAGUGAUGAA